rnacentral:rRNA from 1 species
UGCUUUUGGGCAGCCACCGGUCUAAGUUCCUUGGAACAGGACGUCAUAGAGGGUGAGAAUCCCGUAUGUGACUGGACAGGCACCCUUUGUAAAGCUCCUUCGACGAGUCGAGUUGUUUGGGAAUGCAGCUCUAAAUGGGAGGUAAAUUUCUUCUAAAGCUAAAUACCGGCCAGAGACCGAUAGCGCACAAGUAGAGUGAUCGAAAGAUGAAAAGCACUUUGGAAAGAGAGUUAAAAAGCACGUGAAAUUGUUGAAAGGGAAGGGCUUGCAAUUAGACUUGCCCGCAGUUGUUCAGCUGGUCUUCUGACCGGUUUAUUCUUCUGCGGGCAGGCCAGCAUCAGUUUCGGCGGCCGGAUAAAGGCUCUGGGAAUGUGGCUGUCCUUCGGGGCAGUGUUAUAGCCCAGGGUGUAAUACGGCCAGCCGGGACUGAGGUCCGCGCUUCGGCUAGGAUGCUGGCGUAAUGAUUGUAAGCCGCCCGUCUUGAAACACGGACCAAGGAGUCUAACAUCUAUGCGAGUGUUAGGGUGUCAAACCCUUACGCGUAAUGAAAGUGA